AAAUUGAAAUGACCCCAGCACAGCUAUUUAAUAGAAGAUAUCCUCCUUGAUUUCUUGGGGGCCCAUAAGAUGACUGAAGUUGUAGAACAGCAAAGACUUGGAACAGACAUUGAAGUCCUAUUACUCCUGUCGGAAACUUCUGUUGACUGCAGCAAGAGUUGGAUGGGACCCAGAGAAACCAAAUACAGACAAGUAGUGAUGAGUUGGCCAUACAAGCAAGGAAAAUCACAGAUAACAGUAAGGAAUGUUUCGGCUACCUGCAGCCUCAUCUGAUGAUGCUUAAAGAACUCAGCUAGCUCGAUCUUCUGUGCACCAGCAGGGACUUCUUUAAAUGGGUAAACUGUAUAGAACAUUGCUUUCAAGUUUAACGUACUUGGAAUUAACCUUAUAAAAUAAUGGCAUAUCUAAAGACAGGUUAUAUACAUAGCACAGACAUGUAUGUGUGCAUUUAUAUGUGCAUAUGUGUGCAUACAUGUGUAUGUAAGUGCACACAUAUGUAUAGAAAUGUUGAUGUUCACCUUUUUGAAAUCUUUACAGCUGGUAUUAACAUGAAUGUGCUGUUAAAUUUGGCAGUGUUAUACAUAUUUGUUGGAUUUUACUUCUGUAAGAUAAAAUCAUAAAGAUAAGCUGUGAAACUCGUGCAGCUG